GGGGGACACGGUGUCCCGGGAGCUGUGCCUUCAUCCUCAGACUCUGCUGCUCCUGAGACUCUCUGCACUUGGUUGGGGAAAGAGAGUGUUUAAGUCGAUCUAGAAAACAUAUUAUUAGCAUAAUGAGAUUUUAAUGAUUUGAGAUGUUGGCGCCUCGCACCGAAUUUCAAUCUUCUUGUGUGCAGCUGGGCUUGGUUUUGUUUUAUUUUAUUUUUUUUGCUCGGGUCUCGUGGCAAGGACACGUUUCUACAAUUAUUAUUUAGGUUUUUCUUUUCUGGGAGCCCUGCUCGAAGGCUGCUCUUCAUUUGGUUGUUUAGAAAACCCCUGGGAAGAGAAGACUCUGCUCUUUGUAAACACUUGGCCGCCUUGAUCAGAAAGAGAAGAGCUCCAUGGCUGGUUGACGGCUGGGCCGUGGAAACAGCCCACGUGUCCAUCAAGACCUGAACGGAAACGCCCAGGGUGGCCUGUCCACGCAGCGGAAUACUAUUUGGCAACGAAAAGGAGUGACCUGCUGAUCAGCCUGGAGAACACGAUGCUCAGCCCAAGAAGCCAGACACAAAAGGCCACCUAGUGUAUCAUUCUGUUCGCAUGAAAAGUCCAACACAGGCAAAUCCACAGAAAGUAGAGUCGUGAUUGGCAGGGGCCCUGGGCAGGAGAGACAGGGAGCGACGAAGGAUGGCUGCCGGCUUGCUUUCUGGGGCGAGGGAAGUGUUCUCACAUUGACAGUGGUCACGGUUGUAAGGCUCGGUGACUGCGUCCAGAAUCAUUGAACUGCACACUUUAAAAGGGCGAAUUGCGUGAAAUGUGAAUGCUGUCUCAGUAAAGCUGUUAAAAAAAUAGUUGUGUGGCGGAGAGGAGCUCAGAGCCUGUCAGCUGUAGGUCAGUAUCUUUGCAUAUUUCCAAGGCAGGAUCCUUAACCUGAGGGUGGGGAGCAUGGGGGCUCCUCCAUGAAGCUCAUUGACUUUUUCUGUUUGAGUCUGUUCAUUAGAGAAUCGUACUGGUCACAGCUUUUAGGAUGGACUUUGUAACUCACAAGGUCAAGACGAUAAUUUAAUCUGUUUCUUAAAAAUUUGUUUACUUAUUUUAAAAGUAUUUUAUUGAAGUGUGUUGUGUUAGUUUCUUCUGCUAUACAACAAAGUGACUCAUAUAUAUAUACAUAUAUAUAUAUAUGUAUUCUUUUUCAUAUUAUUUUCCAUUAUGGGUUUUUCUUUUUUCUUUCUUUUUCUUUUUUUGGUUGUGCCAAUGGCAUGCGGACGUUCUCGGGCCAGGGAUCGAACCUGAACCACAGCAGAGGCCUGAGCCACUGCAGUGAAAACGCUGGAUCCUUAACCUGCUGAGCCAUGAGGGAACUCCUCCAUGGUGGUUCAUCACGGGAUAUUGAAUGUAGUCAUGUGUUUUAUACGGUAGAUCCUUGCUGCUUGUCUCUUUUAUUCUAUUUUGCUUUUUAGGGCCGCACCUACAACAUUUGGAGGUUGCAGGCGAGGCUCUGAUCCGGUGUUGCUGUGGCUGUGGUGUAGACUGGCAGCUGCAGCUCCAGUUCCACCCUUAGCCUGGGAACUUCCAUGUGUCACAGGUGUGGCGCUAAAAAGACAAAAAAAAAAAAAGACAAAAAAGACCAAAAAAAAAAAAAAAAAAAAAGACAAAAAAAAAAAAA
ensembl:lncRNA